UAUGGAGAGUUUGAUCCUGGCUCAGGAUGAACGCUGGCGGCGUGCCUAAUACAUGCAAGUCGAGCGAACAGACAAGGAGCUUGCUCCUUUGACGUUAGCGGCGGACGGGUGAGUAACACGUGGGUAACCUACCUAUAAGACUGGGAUAACUUCGGGAAACCGGAGCUAAUACCGGAUAAUAUUUCGAACCGCAUGGUUCGAUAGUGAAAGAUGGUUUUGCUAUCACUUAUAGAUGGACCCGCGCCGUAUUAGCUAGUUGGUAAGGUAACGGCUUACCAAGGCGACGAUACGUAGCCGACCUGAGAGGGUGAUCGGCCACACUGGAACUGAGACACGGUCCAGACUCCUACGGGAGGCAGCAGUAGGGAAUCUUCCGCAAUGGGCGAAAGCCUGACGGAGCAACGCCGCGUGAGUGAUGAAGGUCUUCGGAUCGUAAAACUCUGUUAUUAGGGAAGAACAUACGUGUAAGUAACUAUGCACGUCUUGACGGUACCUAAUCAGAAAGCCACGGCUAACUACGUGCCAGCAGCCGCGGUAAUACGUAGGUGGCAAGCGUUAUCCGGAAUUAUUGGGCGUAAAGCGCGCGUAGGCGGUUUUUUAAGUCUGAUGUGAAAGCCCACGGCUCAACCGUGGAGGGUCAUUGGAAACUGGAAAACUUGAGUGCAGAAGAGGAAAGUGGAAUUCCAUGUGUAGCGGUGAAAUGCGCAGAGAUAUGGAGGAACACCAGUGGCGAAGGCGACUUUCUGGUCUGUAACUGACGCUGAUGUGCGAAAGCGUGGGGAUCAAACAGGAUUAGAUACCCUGGUAGUCCACGCCGUAAACGAUGAGUGCUAAGUGUUAGGGGGUUUCCGCCCCUUAGUGCUGCAGCUAACGCAUUAAGCACUCCGCCUGGGGAGUACGACCGCAAGGUUGAAACUCAAAGGAAUUGACGGGGACCCGCACAAGCGGUGGAGCAUGUGGUUUAAUUCGAAGCAACGCGAAGAACCUUACCAAAUCUUGACAUCCUUUGACAACUCUAGAGAUAGAGCCUUCCCCUUCGGGGGACAAAGUGACAGGUGGUGCAUGGUUGUCGUCAGCUCGUGUCGUGAGAUGUUGGGUUAAGUCCCGCAACGAGCGCAACCCUUAAGCUUAGUUGCCAUCAUUAAGUUGGGCACUCUAAGUUGACUGCCGGUGACAAACCGGAGGAAGGUGGGGAUGACGUCAAAUCAUCAUGCCCCUUAUGAUUUGGGCUACACACGUGCUACAAUGGACAAUACAAAGGGCAGCGAAACCGCGAGGUCAAGCAAAUCCCAUAAAGUUGUUCUCAGUUCGGAUUGUAGUCUGCAACUCGACUACAUGAAGCUGGAAUCGCUAGUAAUCGUAGAUCAGCAUGCUACGGUGAAUACGUUCCCGGGUCUUGUACACACCGCCCGUCACACCACGAGAGUUUGUAACACCCGAAGCCGGUGGAGUAACCAUUUGGAGCUAGCCGUCGAAGGUGGGACAAAUGAUUGGGGUGAAGUCGUAACAAGGUAGCCGUAUCGGAAGGUGCGGCUGGAUCACCUCCUUU
rnacentral:rRNA from 1 species